UAUGAAGACUUCAUUGACCCA
rnacentral:piRNA from 1 species